AUUGAACGCUGGCGGCAUGCUUUACACAUGCAAGUCGAACGGUAACAGGGAGCUUGCUCCGCUGACGAGUGGCGAACGGGUGAGUAAUGCGUCGGAACGUGCCGAGUAGUGGGGGAUAACGCAUCGAAAGGUGUGCUAAUACCGCAUACGUACUGAGGUAGAAAGUGGGGGACCUUCGGGCCUCACGCUAUUCGAGCGGCCGACGUCUGAUUAGCUAGUUGGUGAGGUAAAGGCUCACCAAGGCGACGAUCAGUAGCGGGUCUGAGAGGAUGAUCCGCCACACUGGGACUGAGACACGGCCCAGACUCCUACGGGAGGCAGCAGUGGGGAAUUUUGGACAAUGGGCGCAAGCCUGAUCCAGCCAUGCCGCGUGUCUGAAGAGGGCCUUCGGGUUGUAAAGGACUUUUGUCUGGGAGCAAAUACCCAGUGCUAAUAACACUGGGGGCUGAGAGUACCGGAAGAAUAAGCACCGGCUAACUACGUGCCAGCCGCCGCCGUAACAC
rnacentral:rRNA from 1 species